UACAGAGGGGGCAAGCGUUGUUCGGAAUUACUGGGCGUAGAGGGCUCGUAGGCGGCCAACUAAGUCGGACGUGAAAUCCCUCAGCUUAACUGGGGAACUGCGUCCGAUACUGGAUGGCUUGGAUUUGGGAGAGGGAUGCGGAAUUCCAGGUGUAGCGGUGAAAUGCGUAGAUAUCUGGAGGAACACCGGUGGCGAAGGCGGCAUCCUGGACCAAUAUUGACGCUGAGGAGCGAAAGCUAGGGGAGCAAACGGG
rnacentral:rRNA from 1 species